rnacentral:tRNA from 1 species
AUGGGUAUAGCUCAGUGAUAGAGUACAUGCUUAGCAUGCACAAAGUCCUGGGUUCAAUCCCCAGUACCUCUA